rnacentral:rRNA from 1 species
AUGGCAGCUGGGAUGCGCUUCCUGCAGCUGUUUGCCGCAGUUCUCGCGUUCUGCCUCGCGCCGGUCAAUUCCAACUGGAUCCCGGCCACCGCCACCUUCUACGGCGGCGCCGACGGCUCCGACACAAUGGGUGGCGCGUGUGGGUACGAGAACCUGUACGUUGCAGGGUAUGGGAUCAACAACGUGGCGCUGAGCACGGCGCUAUUCAAUGACGGUGCAUCGUGCGGGCAGUGCUAUGUCAUUAUCUGCGACACCAGCAAGUCGGAUAUGUGCAAGCCCGGCACGUCCAUCACCGUGUCCGCCACCAACUUCUGCCCUCCCAACUGGGAUCUCCCCAGCGACAACGGUGGGUGGUGCAACCCUCCCCGCCACCACUUCGACAUGUCGCAGCCCGCCUGGGAGAACAUCGGCAUCUACCGUGCCGGCAUCAUCCCCGUCUUCUACCAGCAGGUCAAGUGCUCGAGGCAGGGCGGUGUGCGGUUCACCAUCAACGGCUUCAACUACUUCGAGCUGGUGCUCGUGGCCAACAUUGGCGGGAGCGGGUCGAUCAAGAGCAUGUCGGUGAAAGGGACCAACACAGCAUGGAUCCCCAUGUCCAGGAACUGGGGUGCCAACUGGCACUGCCUCUCGGGGCUCGUUGGGCAGGCGCUCAGCUUUGCCAUCACCUCCACCGGCGGCCAGUACCUCGUCUUCCAGGACGUCGUGCCGGCCUGGUGGCAGUUCGGGCAAACCUUCUCCACCUGGCGCCAGUUUGACUACUAA